rfam:Triticum urartu cultivar G1812 contig329528, whole genome shotgun sequence.
AUACUACUCCCUCCGUUUUAAAUUACUCGUCGCAGAAAUGAAUGUAUCUAGCAUUAAAAUACAUCUAGAUACAUCUACAUCUACGACAAGUAAUUUGAAACGAAGGGAGUAGUUC